UACAGAGGUCUCAAGCGUUGUUCGGAUUCAUUGGGCGUAAAGGGUGCGUAGGUGGCGUCGUAAGUCGGGUGUGAAAUUUCGGAGCUUAACUCCGAAACUGCAUUCGAUACUGCGGUGCUUGAGGACUGGAGAGGAGACUGGAAUUUAUGGUGUAGCAGUGAAAUGCGUAGAGAUCAUGAGGAAGACCAGUGGCGAAGGCGGGUCUCUGGACAGUUCCUGACACUGAGACGAAGGCCAGGGGAGCAAACGGG
rnacentral:rRNA from 1 species